AGCGAACGCUGGCGGCAGGCUUAACACAUGCAAGUCGAGCGGGCGUAGCAAUACGUCAGCGGCAGACGGGUGAGUAACGCGUGGGAACAUACCUUUUGGUUCGGAACAACACAGGGAAACUUGUGCUAAUACCGAAUAAGCCCUUACGGGGAAGAUUAUCGCCGAAAGAUUGGCCCGCGUCUGAUUAGCUUGUUGGUGAGGUAACGGCUCACCAAGGCGACGAUCAGUAGCUGGUCNGAGAGGAUGAUCAGCCACAUUGGGACUGAGACACGGCCCAAACUCCUACGGGAGGCAGCAGUGGGGAAUAUUGGACAAUGGGCGCAAGCCUGAUGCAGCGACGCCGCGUGAGGGAUGACGGCCUGGUUGUAAC
rnacentral:rRNA from 1 species